AACAUCUCCUAAAAAUUAAAAAAAAAAAGCAUUGCCUACACAAAGGGAUAAUUUAAAGGUGGGUGGACAGUAAAUUUUAACACUUAUUUUGAUUUAUAUCUACAAUUAUCUUUACUGACACCUGAUACAUAAACCUAUUCCACCAACAGACACACACGCUUGCGAAAAGUAAAUAAUUUUCUAACAGCAAGAAGUAACAAAGUUCAGCAGGGUCAAGGUCAUAAAGAUAUCGUCGUCAAGUGCACGAACAUAUGUUGGUUGAAAGCCGCCAUAAACGAUCAAUCUAUUUUUAGACAGUAAAUUAUCACACAACUGUUUUUGCCCAAGUAAUACUCAGAUUUAGGACUGGUCAGUCAAAUCCAUUGACGGCAACAGUAGAAAUUAGACGUUUUAGUGUUCAGUUGAAGCUAGAAACAGAACAAGAUGAAGCUUCUAUUGAUACUCGCUCUAAUGACAACAGUAGCAGCAUUACCUAAUAGGGAGUGUCCGAUGUACAAGUGCGUCCCAUGUCCAGGUGGCUAUGAAGUGGACCAAGAUGGCUGCCAGACGUGCACGUGUAAAGAAGAGAAGAGGGCAGUGUGU